UACAUACCCUUUAACCCUGGCCAGCUGAACAAGGGGCCCUGGACAGCUCAGAAACAAUAGACACACAGCUAAUAUUUUAUUUAAGAGCUGACAGAAGCCACAGCUGUAUGGAUCCUGUAGCCCAUGGACUGAACUAUUUUAAUUUAGAUGUCCAGCUCGUCAGGAGCUGCUGCCCUAUAAGGGUGGUAGCAGGAGAGAGACCAAAAAUAGUUUCGACUAAAAGUCUGCGCAAUGUAGAUUUGGAGGAAAAUAUUUCUCAUAUCUGGAACAAAGUGUUUAGGUUAUUUUGAGAAUGAAGAGCCUGAUGCAGAUGGUUCUUUACAGAAAGGCAAAAACAAAAUCAGAUCCAUUUCUAGGAAAUGGAUCAUAAAAGGGUGAAGUUCAUCUUUUAUAAAUAAAACACUACAACCUUCACAUCAAAGUCAGGAUCCAGAGGUGUUUAAGAUUGUGAGUGCACCUGAAGUCUAACCACUGCCCUUUGCUCGAGCUCAGUGUUGGAAUGUCUUAUGGAAGGAUUUCAGUUCUUGCGGCCUUUUCUGGUAAUUCAAAGGUGCAUCUCAGGAACUCACGUUCAGAUCCAUGGCAGGCCCAUAGAUCCCAAGCCUGGAGCUCAGUUAUGGCAGAAGAUCUAACCUGGAUGUAGCCCUCCUUAAUCAUAAAUUAUAAAACUGAAACUAUAUCAAUUGGCCUCUUUAUAACUCAU